rfam:Myotis davidii contig188012, whole genome shotgun sequence.
AAGCCAGCCAAUGAGCCUGCUUAGGUGAGCAUGCUCUGCAGAAACUUAUACAAAGCUGGCAAUAGUAAAGCCGUAUUACAAGACUUAAAGACAUUGAAGUCAGCAAGAUCCCUGAGAAUGACUUAUAAGA